AGCCUGAAAACAGAGCCAUGAGGAGGUGCAGAAGUCUAGUUAUCUCUCAGAACACUUGAAUUACAAUAUGCUGAAAGGUUAUUAUGGAAUUGUUGCCCAAUGAUGCCAAAAACACUCUGCCUACUGAGGCUUUAAGCAUGUUUGUGUUUUUAAAACAAAAAAAAUAAUUAGUAUC